AGUUCCGAGGUGUUUCACACAUAAGGUUGCAAACCUUGAGUAGCAGGCUUACACCUGCCGGGACUU
rnacentral:tRNA from 1 species